rnacentral:lncRNA from 1 species
GCAGGGAGAAGAAGAAGAAAAAAAAAACAAGUUAAAGUACCUCGGAGAUGCCAAGGGAAAUGUCAUAAAUGUCAGCUUCCAGAUUCCAGAACCGUGAGACAAAAACAUGUCUGUUGUCUGGGCCACCCAGUUUGUGGAGCGGGUUAUGGCGGCUCUAGCGAGCAACUCCAGGAAAACCCAGGAAACAGCCUACGUGCCCAUCAACCCCCCCACCACCAUGGAUUGGCUGGAAUAAACUUGGAUACAUCCGCAUUGUCGAGUUCUGUGCCCUCGUUUUUGGUUUUGUUUUUAAAGAGAAAGACACGAAUGUGCUCACAUAUCGAGCCCCAGCCGCCGCGGACCUCAGCAACCAGACAAAUGUCUCGAGGGCCUUUCAGGGCUGAUGGCUCUGCCCUGUACCUUGGUCCUCUCUUUCCAUUUAUCAGAACCCCCAGGACCGUGUGCUAAAAAGGGCGAAUUUCCCUGAUAUAGGUGUCUGUGUUAUAAUUAUACAUUUGCAUAUGGAUUAUACCUCAAAAUGCCUGACUUUAAAAAAAAACAGCAAUGAUUCUGUGGAAGAGCUUUUGGGUUUUAUUUGCUGGAGGAGGGAAGAACGGGAAGGCAGGGAGGGCAGGUGCAGGAAGGCAGGCUCCCAAGGCUUAGGUGUGGGCCCUGAAUGUGCAAAUCUCAUCUCGUGCCACAGUCUGCAUGUGAGAAGGGGCAGGGAGGACAUCCCAAGGUGAGGGCACUGCCUGGCUUGGGCUGAGGCUUGGAGGUGGGUCCUGGGGCAGGUGUAUCUACCACGAGGCUGGAGUGCAGGGAACGUGAAGGCGAGCGGUGGGGGGCGGGGGGCAGGAGGUGAUCUGAAACCAGAUUGGGACUCUCAGCACUUACAGUUUCUAUCCUGUCACCAGGCUGUUAACAUAUACAGCCUGUCAUAUAUUCGUUAAUUAUACACCUGCCUUAUCUGCUUUCCCAGCCUGCGUUCCGUUCAGGUGGGCAGAUGAUUCCGGAGGCCUGAGAGACACUGGAGGCUAUGCUGGGAUCCAAGGAAGGCAAGGUGACCCAAUUCAGGUCUGUGCCAUCGAGGAGCUCCCAGGCCGGUGGGAGAGACCAGCAGGUGAGCAGCCAAUGCCCGCACCUGGGGGAAGAGGCUGCCCAUGAGGGGCCA